rnacentral:rRNA from 1 species
GUGCCAGCAGCCGCGGUAAUACGAAGGGGGCUAGCGUUGCUCGGAAUUACUGGGCGUAAAGGGAGCGUAGGCGGACAUUUAAGUCAGGGGUGAAAUCNNCCGGGGCUCAACCUCGGAAUUGCCUUUGAUACUGGGUGUCUUGAGUAUGAGAGAGGUGUGUGGAACUCCGAGUGUAGAGGUGAAAUUCGUAGAUAUUCGGAAGAACACCAGUGGCGAAGGCGACACACUGGCUCAUUACUGACGCUGAGGC